rnacentral:rRNA from 1 species
GAUGAACGCUGGCGGCGUGCCUAAUACAUGCGAGUCGAGCGAACAGACGAGGAGCUUGCUCCUCUGACGUUAGCGGCGGACGGGUGAGUAACACGUGGAUAACCUACCUAUAAGACUGGGAUAACUUCGGGAAACCGGAGCUAAUACCGGAUAACAUGUUGAACCGCAUGGUUCAACAGUGAAAGACGGUCUUGCUGUCACUUAUAGAUGGAUCCGCGCCGCAUUAGCUAGUUGGUAAGGUAACGGCUUACCAAGGCAACGAUGCGUAGCCGACCUGAGAGGGUGAUCGGCCACACUGGAACUGAGACACGGUCCAGACUCCUACGGGAGGCAGCAGUGGGGAAUCUUCCGCAAUGGGCGAAAGCCUGACGGAGCAACGCCGCGUGAGUGAAGAAGGUCUUCGGAUCGUAAAACUCUGUUAUUAGGGAAGAACAAAUGUGUAAGUAACUAUGCACGUCUUGACGGUACCUAAUCAGAAAGCCACGGCUAACUACGUG